GAAUUCGCCCUUAGAGUUUGAUCCUGGCUCAGGACGAACGCUGGCGGCGCGCCUAACACAUGCAAGUCGAACGGAGCUUAGAGAGCUUGCUUUUUAAGCUUAGUGGCGAACGGGUGAGUAACGCGUGAGUAACCUGCCCUAGAGUGGGAGACAACAGUUGGAAACGACUGCUAAUACCGCAUAAGCCCACGGUACCGCAUGGCACUGAGGGAAAAGGAUUUAUUCGCUUUAGGAUGGACUCGCGUCCAAUUAGCUAGUUGGUGAGGUAACGGCCCACCAAGGCGACGAUUGGUAGCCGGACUGAGAGGUUGAACGGCCACAUUGGGACUGAGACACGGCCCAGACUCCUACGGGAGGCAGCAGUGGGGGAUAUUGCACAAUGGGGGAAACCCUGAUGCAGCGACGCCGCGUGGAGGAAGAAGGUUUUCGGAUUGUAAACUCCUGUCGUUAGGGACGAUAAUGACGGUACCUAACAAGAAAGCACCGGCUAACUACGUGCCAGCAGCCGCGGUAAAACGUAGGGUGCAAGCGUUGUCCGGAAUUACUGGGUGUAAAGGGAGCGCAGGCGGGAAGACAAGUUGGAAGUGAAAUCCAUGGGCUCAACCCAUGAACUGCUUUCAAAACUGUUUUUCUUGAGUAGUGCAGAGGUAGGCGGAAUUCCCGGUGUAGCGGUGGAAUGCGUAGAUAUCGGGAGGAACACCAGUGGCGAAGGCGGCCUACUGGGCACCAACUGACGCUGAGGCUCGAAAGUGUGGGUAGCAAACAGGAUUAGAUACCCUGGUAGUCCACACUGUAAACGAUG
rnacentral:rRNA from 1 species